GGAGUCUGGGCCGUGUCUCAGUCCCAAUGUGGCCGAUCACUCUCUCAAGUCGGCUACUGAUCGUUGCUUUGGUAGGCCGUUACCCUGCCAACUGGCUAAUCAGACGCAUCCCCAUCCCUUACCGACGAAUCUUUGCUCCUCGUCAGAUGCCUGCUAAGGAGAACAUAGAGUAUUAAUCCGACUUUCGCCGGGCUAUCCUCUAGUAAGGGGAAGGUUGGAUACGCGUUACUCACCCGUGCGCCGGUCGCCAUCAAAGGAAGCAAGCUUCCUUCAUGCUCGCCCCACGACUUGCAUGUGUUAAGCCUGUAGCUAGCGUUCAUC
rnacentral:rRNA from 1 species